UACGGAGGGGGGCAAGCGUUGUCCGGACUUACUGGGCGUAAAGGGUGCGUAGGCGGCCUGCUGCGUCGGUGCUGAAAGCGCCCGGCUUAACCGGGCGAGGCGUGCCGAUACGAGCGGGCUGGAGCCUUGGCGAGGGUGGCGGAACUCCUGGUGUAGUGGUGAAAUGCGUAGAGAUCAGGAAGAACACCCGUGGCGCAAGCGGCCACCUGGCCAAGAGCUGACGCUGAGGCACGAGAGCGUGGGGAGCGAACCGG
rnacentral:rRNA from 1 species